rnacentral:tRNA from 1 species
GGGCGGAUGUAGCCAAGUGGAUCAAGGCAGUGGAUUGUGAUCCCACCCAUGCGCGA